GGUUUGGGCAGGAGCAGCAUUGCCAUUGCCCUGGGAUAAUGGCAUCAUUGCUCUGCCUGCCUCUGGUGUCAGCACCUCUUAAAUCAAAAUCUCUGGCAAUUUUUCUUCAUUAUGAGGAGAGGGUUUGUAUUGAGUGGUUUCAGAAAAGAGGUGUCCAGUUCUUCCAGGGAAGGGAGCCUUUUUGGGGCUUGGACUGUCUCCCACCUGGCAGCAGUGGUGACUGGAUCACAAAGCCUCCUGGAGCCCCUGGACCAUUCCUGGUAGUGCAGAUUGUUGUGUUAGUAUUGUAAUAACUUUACUUUGGUGGUGAUUGUGCUUUGAUUUUUAAAACUGGAGUCCUCUGACUUUAAAUUUAAGUCUGUUUGCUGAAGUAUAGUGACCCUGGGGCUGUGAAAUCUAGUUCUGAAAGCUACCUGUAUUUGUGGGUAGAGGAAAUGUAGUGAUUGCUAAAGUGAAGACAGUGCUAGCUGAACACAAACCCCAGCCUAAAUUUUAUGGCUGUCCUGCCAGGGGCACAAAUUUUUUCAGACUUACCCUCCUGGCCUAGCAAGACUUUUCUUGUGCCAGUGAAUGUGUGUUAGGAGCUGGGAGGAAAGCCAAUAACUCCUGUGUCAUGAGGAGCAUGUCUCAAGACAAAGAAAGUGUGAGUUUAGGUGCCACAUGAAAGCCAUUUCUGCUAAUGUGUGUUCCAGCUUUUAAAAUAUAUAAAAAAGUAUGGUCUAAUUCAGAGUAAUAAAGCAUUCCAUGCAUGCUCUGUGACCAUGCUUUAUUAGAAGUGAAAAAAAUAAUCUUAGUUGGAGACAAUUUGAUAUGAACCACCCCAUCCUUGACUUGGACCUGCUUGAGCCAUUAACUGAGAAUGGGGCUAAUAGUCUGGGAGUGAACUGCUGGGCAAAGCUGAAAAGGGAAUGAGGAGCCACCUCCCAGCCAAGAACAAUCUCACUGGGGCAGAUAAACCCUCUGGCACUUCUGAAAAACCACACCCAUUUUCAUCAGAUGAGCUCCUAGACUGGUGCUUCAAGGCAAAAGGAACAGCUUCUGGAAAUCAGCUUCCUGUGCUACUGAGCAGCUCCACGUAGGAGAGAAGACAAGAAAAAUCUUUGGAAGAAGAAAAGAUCAACAGCAAAGAUCACAUGGAAAUGGUUUGUUGAGGUUUUCAGACCUGCCUGACUUGUGCUUUUGGCCCUGAGCUUUGGUUCUUCACCUCCAUCUGCAUCCACAGGAUGUUCCAGAUCCUACUACAAAAUUCUACAGCUGAACCUGGGACAGGAGCCCCACUAUAGGACCAAAGCUGCUGCUUCUGUCUUUCCAUUCCCCACACCAUGUUGGCUCCUCGGAUCACACAGGUUGCCAGCAAUGUGAGUCUUCUAUAUCAUAAAGAAAAAGACACCCAAAGCAACGUUAUGAAGAGAAAUGGACAUUUUCUGUCCAUCAGACAAGAGAAGAAAUGUGUGGGAAGGGAGCAGGUGAACUUACUCUACAACACUUCUGAGUGUGAAGAGACUGUUUGUGCCACUGGCACAUCUCAUGGUCAUACCUCUGGUGCUGAGCCAUUUGUGGGGUCUCUCUACUGUGAUUUAAGAACAAGGAGUAACCAACUGUGCUCUCAGUCAGUCACAUCUGGAGAAAUCACAGCAGAUAUUCACUUACCAAAAACAAGGGACCUGCCUGGACCAGAAAAUGGAACUGAUGCUGCAAAGUCUCUACACUUGAAAAUACUGAAGAUGGCUACACUGGGACAAACUCACCACUGAGACAAGCAUCAUGAUUCUUGUAAAGAUAUGCUUUCAUCAAACCCAAGAUUGGCCUUAUCCACUCUUUAGGACUCAAACUGUUGUGGAGACCAACAGGGCAGUACUUAGUAAUGUGUCCUUUUCAAACAUGCACUUUUCAUUAAGUAACUUUUUUUAGACAAAGAACUUUUCGCGAGAGGAUGAGAGGAUCUGCCUGAUGAAAUAUUGACUCUCCCAAUUCAUUUUAGAUUCUCAAGCAUCAUUCAACAGCUCUGAAUUGACUAAUGGCCAUCACAGCAAAUGGAUUUCCACCUGAAUCUUUAGUUCUUGUCUGAAUGAUAUUAAUACACAUUGUUUAUCACUAAUGAGCUCUAGAAUAUGAUGUUAACAGAAGCAAUUAAGGCCCAGAAUAACUAUCUGCAACACUGUGCUGGGGCUGAAUGCAUGGGUAAUGAAUUACUUCCCUAGCUCAGCUCCAGUUUCCUCACUGCAAAUCGUACGUCAGAUCUCAGUAAGCUCAUCUGAGUGUCCCUGCUGUUGCCUUCAUUUCUAACUUGUGUGUGCCAGAUGUUAUUUAUAAAAGAAAGAAAUACAGAGUUGUUUUUUUUUUAAGACCUAGCCUUGUGGGUUUUAUUUGUUGUUGAGUGAUUGCAGCCACCUUCAAAGUGAGGUGUCAUAUUAAGACUACCUUUCCCUCUAGCAGGCAUAGAUUUAAACUUCUCCUAAGGUGUUUAAGUUCAGGAGAAUAAAGCU